rnacentral:rRNA from 1 species
UGAACGCUGGCGGCGUGCCUAAUACAUGCAAGUCGAGCGAACGGACGUGAAGCUUGCUUCUCUGAUGUUAGCGGCGGACGGGUGAGUAACACGUGGAUAACCUACCUAUAAGACUGGGAUAACUUCGGGAAACCGGAGCUAAUACCGGAUAAUAUUUUGAACCGCAUGGUUCAAAAGUGAAAGACGGUCUUGCUGUCACUUAUAGCUGGAUCCGCGCUGCAUUAGCUAGUUGGUAAGGUAACGGCUUACCAAGGCAACGAUGCAUAGCCGACCUGAGAGGGUGAUCGGCCACACUGGAACUGAGACACGGUCCAGACUCCUACGGGAGGCAGCAGUAGGGAAUCUUCCGCAAUGGGCGAAAGCCUGACGGAGCAACGCCGCGUGAGUGAUGAAGGUCUUCGGAUCGUAAAACUCUGUUAUUAGGGAAGAACAUAUGUGUAAGUAACUGUGCACAUCUUGACUGUACCUAAUCAGAAAGCCACGGCUAACUACGUG